UACGGAAGGGGCUAGCGUUGCUCGGAAUCACUGGGCGUAAAGCGCACGUAGGCGGAUCUUUAAGUCAGGGGUGAAAUCCCAAGGCUCAACCUUGGAACUGCCUUUGAUACUGGGGAUCUCGAGUCCGGAAGAGGUGAGUGGAACUGCGAGUGUAGAGGUGAAAUUCGUAGAUAUUCGCAAGAACACCAGUGGCGAAGGCGGCUCACUGGCCCGAUACUGACGCUGAGGCACGAAAGCGUGGGGAGCAAACAGG
rnacentral:rRNA from 1 species